AGGCUUGUAGCUCAGGUGGUUAGAGCGCACCCCUGAUAAGGGUGAGGUCGG
rnacentral:tRNA from 1 species